rnacentral:rRNA from 1 species
CCUACGGGAGGCAGCAGUAGGGAAUAUUGGGCAAUGGAGGCAACUCUGACCCAGCCAUGCCGCGUGCAGGAAGAAGGCGUUAUGCGUUGUAAACUGCUUUUAUAUAGGAAGAAAUAGACCUUGCGAGGUAAGUUGACGGUACUAUAUGAAUAAGCACCGGCUAACUCCGUGCCAGCAGCCGCGGUAAUACGGAGGGUGCAAGCGUUGUCCGGAUUUAUUGGGUUUAAAGGGUGCGUAGGCGGUUUAUUAAGUCAGUGGUGAAAGACGGUCGCUCAACGAUUGCAGUGCCAUUGAUACUGGUAGACUUGAGUGGGAUUGAGGUAGCUGGAAUGGAUAGUGUAGCGGUGAAAUGCAUAGAUAUUAUCCAGAACACCAAUUGCGUAGGCAAGUUACUAAGUCUCAACUGACGCUGAGGCACGAAAGUGUGGGUAUCAAACAGGAUUAGAUACCCUGGUAGUCCACACUGUAAACGAUGAUAACUAACUGUUGGCUUUCGAGUCAGUGGUACAGAGAAAUCGUUAAGUUAUCCACCUGGGGAGUACGCCGGCACGGUGAAACUCAAAGAUAGUGCGNGNGAGAGCGACGACGACGACGAGGAGGGAGGNGG